UACGUAGGGUGCAAGCGUUAAUCGGAAUUACUGGGCGUAAAGCGUGCGCAGGCGGUUCGCUAAGACAGAUGUGAAAUCCCCGGGCUUAACCCGGGAACUGCAUUUGUGACUGGCGGGCUAGAGUAUGGCAGAGGGGGGUAGAAUUCCACGUGUAGCAGUGAAAUGCGUAGAGAUGUGGAGGAAUACCGAUGGCGAAGGCAGCCCCCUGGGCCAAUACUGACGCUCAUGCACGAAAGCGUGGGGAGCAAACAGG
rnacentral:rRNA from 1 species